GCACUUGCUUUGCAGCACAUAUAUUAAAAUUGAAACCAUAUGGAGAAGAUUAGCAAGGUCUCUGUGUGAGAUGACAUGCAAAUUUGUGAAGCAUUCUGUAUUUAA